UGGGGAAUAUUGCACAAUGGGGGAAACCCUGAUGCAGCGACGCCGCGUGAGGGAAGAAGGUUUUCGGAUUGUAAACCUCUGUCUUUGGUGACGAUAAUGACGGUAGCCAAAGAGGAAGCUACGGCUAACUACGUGCCAGCAGCCGCGGUAAUACGUAGGUGGCAAGCGUUGUCCGGAAUUACUGGGUGUAAAGGGAGCGUAGGCGGGAAGACAAGUUGAAUGUUUAAACUAUCGGCUUAACCGGUAAUCGCGUUCAAAACUGUUUUUCUUGAGUGAAGUAGAGGCAGGCGGAAUUCCUAGUGUAGCGGUGAAAUGCGUAGAUAUUAGGAGGAACACCAGUGGCGAAGGCGGCCUGCUGGGCUUUAACUGACGCUGAGGCUCGAAAGCGUGGGUAGCAAACAGGAUUAGAUACCC
rnacentral:rRNA from 1 species